UAAAUCGCGUUUCUUUUUUCAUUCUGCUCGCAAACUUAUUAUUUUCUUUUGUUUAUAGACAGUGUACAUCAUAAUGCGUCAUGUUUUUCUGAUAAUCGUUUCAAACAAUUGAAAAUUUAUCGAAGAUAUACGCACAUAUAUCUUUCGUAUCAAAGUAUCGAAGAGGAAAAAGGAUCUAAAAGAAGCGUAAAGCAUUUCGAUGAUUAAAAAAAAAAAAAAAAAACAAAUAUUUACUUUACAGUAGAAGUAUCAAUGCAAUUGUUGAAUUAUUUCACCUCGGCAAGAAAAUCUAGAACGAUGGUUUAUCGAGUUUUUAUUA